rnacentral:rRNA from 1 species
AGAGUUUGAUCCUGGCUCAGGAUGAACGCUAGCGGCAGGCCUAAUACAUGCAAGUCGAACGGGAUGGAGUAGCAAUACUCCAUCUAGUGGCGCACGGGUGCGUAACGCGUAUGCAACCUACCUUUUAUUGGGGGAUAGCCCGAGGAAACUCGGAUUAAUACCGCAUAAUACUAUUUGAGGGCAUCUGAGGAUAGUUAAAGCUGAGGCGAUAGAAGAUGGGCAUGCGUGACAUUAGCUAGUUGGUUGGGGUAACGGCCCACCAAGGCGACGAUGUCUAGGGGUUCUGAGAGGAUGAUCCCCCACACUGGUACUGAGAUACGGACCAGACUCCUACGGGAGGCAGCAGUAGGGAAUAUUGGGCAAUGGUCGGAAGACUGACCCAGCCAUGCCGCGUGCAGGAUGAAGGCCUUCUGGGUUGUAAACUGCUUUUAUCUAGGAAGAAAAUACCCUUGCGAGGGGAACUGACGGUACUAGGUGAAUAAGCACCGGCUAACUCCGUGCCAGCAGCCGCGGUAAUACGGAGGGUGCAAGCGUUGUCCGGAUUUAUUGGGUUUAAAGGGUGCGUAGGCGGCUUAGUAAGUCAGUGGUGAAAUCCCAUCGCUCAACGAUGGAACUGCCAUUGAUACUGCUAGGCUUGAGUACAGACGAGGUAGGCGGAAUUGAUGGUGUAGCGGUGAAAUGCAUAGAUACCAUCAAGAACACCGAUUGCGAAGGCAGCUUACUAGACUGUAACUGACGCUGAGGCACGAAAGCGUGGGGAGCGAACAGGAUUAGAUACCCUAGUAGUCC